GUAACCACACAGAGAGCUGUAAUGUGACCAUUAUUGUUCUCCCUCCUUACAGAGAACUGCUCCUUUCCAGUUUCCCUCUCGAGAUGGCUCCCUUAGCACCUGAGGCGGUGCACACAGCUUUCACCAAGUGGGAUUCUGACCUGUUUCUGCUUGAAUAAUGAGUCCUGUGUUUGUUGUUCUAUUGACAGCUCCUUUUCCUUCUGUGUGGGCAACUGCCCUCCAGCUCCUCCAGGAAUGUUUACUGCAUCAUUGCAGUAUCUGUGUUCAUGUCCUGCAUACAGGCAGGUGGAGAACAAUACCGCACAUCCUAUAAAUGAGUAUCCAUGUCUGUUCUGUCAUAUCCUCAUAAUUUAUUGGUUACCUCAGGAUAUUCAUAGAGAUGCAGGUGUUGAUUUCCUAUUUCUGCAGCUAACUGUUUUGUUGGAAUUAGUACUCUCUGUGUGGGGGUGUUUUCUUUUGUCUACAGCUAUUGCACUUUGGUCUUUGAUCUCCUCAGAUCUUGCAAGCUGAGUGGGCUGGGGUUUGGCCACUGCUCGGAUGAGAGAUUUAUAGGAAUACCAUGAUGCUGACAGGUAUUGUUUGGGACUGAAGAUGCUACCUUCUGCUUGGAGUCAACGCUGAACAAGUACCCUGGUGCAGGGGGUGCGCAGUGCUGCAGGCUCUGGCUGUGGAGGAGCUGCGAAACACAUCCUAUGAGCCUCAGAGUGUCUCAGCCAAAAUCGAAUGUAUGUAAUCAGUCCUGCAUUCAAAAGCUUCAGAGAAUGUAUUGUUACUUUUCACUCUCUCCUGUAAUGUAGCACUGGGGAUUUCAGUGCACAGCCAUUCUCAGGAGAAAGGAGGGGGAGGAGUGUCCGUACAGAAGCAGCGUGAUGCCAGCACUCAACGUGUGCCUGCUGCGGUGUGCUGGUUUAAAGCAGGAACCACUGCUGGCCUGAUGGGCGUCUGGGAGCUCUCACCUGAACAGUGGCUACAACGUUCUCCAGCCACUCCCAUUUGCCAUUAGUGAGUGACCCCUUAAUCACAUUGGCAAGUAACCACUCACACAAGUAAUCCUAUUGACACCAGUUGGGCUGGAUCCACAUUGUUAUAAUUUAGCAAAUAACUACUCAGUUGUUUAGAAUAUAAAUUCUUCUGAUUUAUGUAGGAUUGGAAGGCAUUUCCAUCUCAUUUUUUAGGAAAACAUAGUGAAUUGUCACUUGCUUAGCACAUCUAGGAAAAGGCAGUUUUUAGGCAUCAUAAUGCAAUAAAUAGAACACACCUUUUUCUAGCAGAGGUAAUGUGAGUUUCCCAGCCAACGUCUCCUGUGUUUUUCUGUUGCCUAAAGGGUAAACUUGGGCUGAAUUGAAUGCUGGCUUCCUCCCAGGUAAGUCACCAUCAGUGGGGAAGAUCAUUUGUUUUGAACACUGUUGUUCAGCUGGUGGUGGGUGGCUCCAUCCUGCAGAGCUGCCUGUGUUCAUAGAGUUAAUGUGAGCAGGAGAAAAGGAAAGUUCUGCCAGAGAUUUGCUGAUACAAUGCUCGGGUCAUUCACAGGGUGUAAUAACGGCUGUGACAACCCAUUGUACUUUUUGUAGGCUGAGGUAUGACUCUGCUUGUUUGGAAGCCACUGAAUUCCUCAGUCUUGCCCAACUCCAGCUUGGAACCUGGCGCCCCAUCCCUGGGCAGUCCUGCAGUUCUCACCAGUGGCACUUCACCGUUUCCAAAACAAGUUUUCCCAAGCAGGGAUGCAGCACUCAGCUCAGUGCUGGCACACAGUUUUUGUCUCUUCUCCCUUUCUUCUUGUUGCUAAGUAAAUAGUAAGAGCAUUCCUAAUUGGAAAAGAGAAGCUUCAGAUAAGAGAUUGUUUCUUAUUCAGUAUAGUCUCUCACACUUGGGAUACUGAUGCACUUUUUGUGUUUUGCUGAUGAAGCUGACCAUCUCCAGAAGCCACCUCCUGCCUUUGUUCAGUGACCAGCCCUUCUGCAGCACUUCCACAAUUGUCAGGAGUGAUUUGAAUUCUGAUCCUGCCCUCAGAAGUGUCUGCAACACUUCCAGCUCGCAGUCAUCAACAACUGUAUCUGUGUUGUCUCUGCUGCAGCAUUGGAGUCUGUGCAGGAACAUCUGGGAGCCACUCCAGCUGUCCUUCAUACCCACAGGGGACACUCAGAACACUGGUGAUUUUCAUUGUAUUCUUUCCCACUUUAUAUUAAUUUUAUUUUGACUUUGCAUGUUGAGCUGUACUUGUGAGCCCGCAUUAGGGAAUUGCACAUGGCACCUUGCUCAUAUGGGGUGCUGUACCUUGUAUUUACACAGCAAUGAGCUCAUUUCCCCCUUGGUGCAUUACCUCCCCACCACGGCCUCCCCUUCCCUGCCCAAAUCCUCCCCAGGUUUGACGUCUUUUCUAUUUCUCUCUUCUUGAGAAAUGUAUAAACUCACCUUGGCUACAACUCUUGGGCCACAGCCUCACCUUCUAGGUGAUGACAACUUGAUUGGUGAAUCAUAGAUUUUGAUACCUUUGAAGCUGUGAUUUCUAAAUGCAUCCCUUCAGAUAGGAAUGGUGUUUCUCUGAGAUUUUGUGUUGAACCCACUCUGAUGUCUUUCCGUUAUUGAAAAUCUUUUCCACCAUAAUAUGAAACAGAUGUAUACAGGAACUGGCCAUUUACACUGUGUAGUGUGUAAAUUACGGACCCAAAGUUUUGGAUGCUGCAGAAAUUCUAUCAGUGAUAUUCCUGGCUAGACAAUGUUUGGAGUCAAACAACCACAGCCUGCUGACUGGGUUCUCCCAGGCCCUCACACUCUCUUCUCUUCCCAGAUCUGUUUUGUUUGGGGUAUUCUAGGGCCUAUAACUCUAAUGCAACCUCACUCAUGUCUCUCUGCUAUUCUUCAGAGUUCUUUACUUCCUGCUCAUCUUGUUCUUUACUCUAUGGGUUAUCACUCUGCCCCACACUCUUGCUGGGCUGCCCUGAUCCUGUGAGCUGCCUUUCCUUGCCCUUACAUGCAGCAUUCCAGCCUGCAGCCUUCCCCUUAUCCCAGAGCAGUUCUGCCUGGAGGCUCAUUGCCAUCCUGAUCAGGCAUUUCCCUGCUUCAGCACGUUCUCAAAAUUAAAAGCCUGUUCAAGAGCGCUGUGGCACUUUAUAAAUCAUACAUCAUAUGGACUAUUUGCUGUACUCAGAUCACAACAAAACCAUUUUUCAGCUUGCUGGGGACUUUUCCUCAAGCUGCUGCACUAUGUUUUGCUAACGAGGCCAUGGGGUGGCCCAGGGCCACCACCUUACUCCUUCUCUUUUCCUCUCUUUAACC